rnacentral:lncRNA from 1 species
CCCUCCAGCAACACAUCCAGGCUCGGCAUGCGGUAUGGGCUGUGCACUUCAUCAUAGCGGCCCUCGGGCUAUCUAACGCGUCAUGUGGGCCAGGGACAGGUGGAGCUGCAGGAACCACAGGUGGUACCGGGGGACACAGGAGGGCAGGUGGUGGUCUCCAUCCCUGGGUCCGGACGCUCUCCACCUAUAUGCUGCUCACCCACCCCACCUUCCAACCGUGGGCCCUGAUGACCGCCAGCCAAGCCGGGCCCCGACUCGGCAGAAGUGACCUACCCACGGAUAUCAGCCGGAUUGUGGGCGCCCUGGGACACCUACCACUGCUCCGGGAUAUCGAGACCAGCCCCCUGUCCCCCGGACCGUGGUGCUGGGCAACCGUGUUGUGGGGUAACCCGUUGCUCCCCAAUACCGGUGAGGCAGACCCAGACAGUUUGAACCGCCACCCGGGCCUGGAGACGCACUUCGUGGGGAUCGCUACAUGCAGGAAACUGCAAACGGUGGGUGACCUAGUGCGGGUCUGGGACCUAGUGGUGCAUACUCGAGUGGCCUCCCUCCCCAGGUCGACCUUGUCACGACAAUCUAGCGUCACGUUCAUUUUACCGUCUUUAUAAUCGUCUUAGGUUAUAAUCGGUGUGAAUACACGAAUUUCGUGUAUAAUCGUGUAAGGUGUUUGGUUCUUAUCUUACACUUCGCUGAUCGACUUAUGGACGAGACGUGAAUGUAUGCUCGUUUGCGUAUGUUUUUGUAUUUUACCUGUUAAUUGUCUAUUUCUUGUGUGAAUGUUCUGUCACACGGUCAUAAGGUGUUUCACUUGUGUCAUUUGUGGACUAUACGUCGUGGUCGUACUCGAGGCUUGUCUUUUGAGGGCCUCCUGUGAUCAACAACUUGACUUCGGUAUUUAUAGCCGGCAGCGAGCUUGGAAAAGUCGCUUUACGGCUCAUGAUCGGAACAUUGUAAAGUUCUCUGAGCUAGACAACAAGCCCUGUGCGGACCUCCCUUCUCGUAAGCCACAUAAGUAACUUCCUUUCACCAGCCGAACUCCUGUGUGGGCCACUCAACGCCCAUAUCCUUCACGCCGGGCAUACUCAGUUGGUGAGGUAAAUCUUUGCCACUGUUGAUUGAUUGCCUGGAGGGAAUCUUGGCCCCUUUCGCGGGUUGCUAUUUGCUGCGUAUUACGACUUGCCCGUUCGUGUGCCGUCUAGUCAGCAUUCAAGCUACCUGCAGGACUUCGCCUAGACCACCCUGCAUUCCAUAGCCGUAAAGCCUAAAUCAGGCUAGAAGACCAAGUAAGUUCGGUUUUUGGUUUACCUUAGGUGUUCUGUCGCCUAGGGGAUAUUCGGGUUGCUUUUCGCAGCACCCUUUUUGGUAGGUUAGGUAGGCUAGGUCACGCCAGCCGCACCUGUUAGCAGUGUUACGCACAGCUGCCCUACUAUUCAGCAAUUUCGGGCCAUUUUCUACUGGGUCGAUUUGCUUUCGUAUUCGGUCACUCUGACAAUCGAUACUGUGUCACGCACAGCCGUCUGUUGGACACUCGAUCCCGAAUACUUUAUACAAUCAACUCGUUUUACCAUCUAGGCUUGGUCAGCCCAGCCUAACAUUAUUAUUAUAUAAUACAUUCAGCUCACCUGAACAGCAGGUUCGAGCUUCUCUGUGCUUAACGAUCAUUUCGCGUACCUUCGGCCGAAUUAUACGGGGUCACACCAAUUCUUUUGCUUUCACUAGCCUCAAUUCGCUACUGCAGUUUACAUCGAGGCAGUUAACCCCAGGCCACGCAGAGGACGCUCAGGGCGCAGUCCCUUUGGUUUUCACACCAACACUUUUCUUCACAGUGGUGUUCGGGCCACUCCAGUCAGACACCGGCACCAUCGGUUGAUUCCACAUAUCUUCGAGCCUCUUGGCAAAUCUCCUGAACUCACUUUUAUAGGUCUUUUGGCUCGCGGCGUUAGGGUCGACAUCGAGCCGCGACCGGUCAUUUGCAAUAUCCGCUACCUGUCAGCUGUGCAGCUAUAUCUGGACCUGGACCAGCUUCCCAGGCCGAGGCAAACUAUUGUUAUCAGCACAACAGGUGUUGCAAUUUCCUCUAUUUGAAUACGGAGACUUUUGUGCGCCUAAGCGCAAUGAUAUGAUGGAGUAAACGCUGCAAGCUUAUCGAGUCGGUACUCUACUCUUUCCCGACCCAGCGUUACCAAUUAUUCCAGCUGUUUUUACGCAGCUACUCUUUGUUUGCAGCUCAAUACUACGCAACUUUACAGCGACACCAGCUUAGGUGGGGCGGGUUUAGUACUCUUUAGUAGUCGCUAGGCUUUUUAUUGCUUAGUCCUUGCCUGUUCGCUUCGCGUUUGUUGCUGCAUCUUUUCCUUUUUCUUAUCUUGUUUUUCGUAAGCUAAUUGUUACACAGGGAAGCAUAAGUCCCACGGAGCCUCUACGUCGCAACAUCCCGCGGGCCGCCACUGCGCAACAUCUUCGCUCGACGACUCAGCGAGAUCAGCAGGAGGUAAGCAAGGUUUCGCGUAAGGAUACACGUAGGGUGUCCACCUCAGGGUCUAGUACUAGUGAAGCCGCCCGUAUUCCGCGCUCGCGUUCCGAUAGUGGCCUAGCAGUACAGGUGGAACUUCCCCUGACUAAGUUAGCUCUAACUGAGGGUGAGGUUACUGCUCCACUAGAAACCCGCGGAACAGAUUCCGAUAGGGAGAAGUGGUCGCGUCUCUUUGAAGCGCUAGGUAGGCCCCGCACCUACAUCAACCCUAUCUUUUCUAGGGAUAGCGACUCAGACGACGAAAUAAUGCAGAACCUCUACCCCACUCUCGACCCGUUCCAGCACAGCAGGUUGGAUUAUUUCCUCACUAAGGUUUUCCAGCAAGGAGUUGCCUACCCUCUUUCUAGGAACAACUUGUCUGUUGAGAGCCUUAAGUCGUACCUGGACGCUCUGCCUGGACGAAACACGCCAUUUGAAGCGUGGUACAACUCACACAGGCAAAACCUCAUAUCUAGGGUAACCCCAAAGUUUAGAAAAAAAAGUAUUCUCAUCUCAAUCUAUUGAGAUCUCAUGAGAUCUCAAUAGAAUGGGUUAUAUUCUAAUCUCAAGUUUUGGCAGCUUUCUGGGAAAUGCAUGACUGGCUCUGAAACUUUGUAGGAUGAUUCUGUAUGGUAUAUUUGUUAUAAUAAUUAAGUUUUGGGACGUUGCGAAGCACAAUUGCACGACAGAAACAAGCAAUUAUACUCCGCCGCAGUAUUGACCCAUGGGUCACAGCAUGCGAGGGCGCACUGGACGGUCGAGUUCACGCCACAGGCGCUUAUCCCUUUGAUGCUUCUUAAACUCCAUACCCUAAGGGUUAAAGUUUCAACGAAUCAGGGCCCAGAUCAUCAUUCCUAAGCCCUGGCAAUGCACAAAAGCCGACAUGGUAUGCCAUCAAGAUCCCAUGCUGGCCAAGUUCAGCAGACAUAGACUGCUACCAAUGCCGACCGAACAACUUGAAUCCCUAGCUACUUCACUCCUCCUCCUCCCCGGCCAGCAGCUGCAUCACCACCUCCUCAUCCGACAGGGUGUUGCGCUUGGCCGCGUAGCUGUCGUUCUGGCGGAUGAAGAUGAGCUUCAUCGCACGCAUCUGCCCCAGGCGGUUGUGGGCCUUGUGGAACAGGUUACCCCACAGCGACCAGUUGCGCUCUGAUGCGCAGGUGGUUGCGUGCAUGCGGAGGACGCGGUUGGCCACGAAAGCCAGGGCCGGAUACGAAUCCGCCAUAUGCACCGUCCAAAACUUCAGGCGCAACGGCAGCCCGGCCAGCUCAACCUUCUUCACCUUCGACUUGCCAACCGUCUGCUCGACCUCCUUGCGUGCAGUCAGCGUUGGCAUGAAAUCACGGCACUCAUCCGGUACCCUACCGGUCUAGUAAGGAAAUAUAUGGCUUCUAAAGAUUUAUAAAGAAUUAUAGUGCCGUACAUUAGAUAACGACCCAACCGUCUCCUCAAGUGCCAAAAAAGACCUUCUAAAUUCUCAAUGAGAUUCUCAAGAGAAAUAAUUAGAUUAGAAAACCGACUUUAGAUGAGUGCCAACCCUACUCAUAUCUAAAGCCGCAGCACACUUGGUGUAUCCGAACCAGGUGCGGCAGCCAACACCGUCUCCCCGCGUCAACUGUUUGACUAUUACGCCCACAUCCUAGAGGAAAACUUUGCCUCCGCGCGCGCUGAAAGUGAUCUUGCGCGCUUCAAAAGCAUGCAGCAGGGAGCUCUCUCUCCCAUAGUCUUCAAGGAUAUGCUGCUAGCGCUUGAGAAGAAGCUGGACGGUAGAGUCAGUAAACACCAAGUCGCCGAACGUUUCCUUGAGGGCUUAAACCCCGUGGUUCGGCAUCACCUGGAGAGGCACCUCAUCACCGUGGAGCGUACCAAAUGGUAUGAUCGUACCGGAUUGCCUGUGAAAUCUUUUGGUACUGUAUUGCCGAGGGUAUCACACUGCAGGCGGAGUGGCGGCCGCGAGAAGAAAACACUCUGGCGGACUACCUCUCAAAGCUGCAGGACCGGGACGACUGGAUGGUGAACCGUAAGGAAUUUCAGAGGCUCAACACCGCCUGGGGCCCCUUUGACAUUGAUCUUUUCGCGUCACACACCAAUCACCAGCUGCCACAAUACUAUUCCCGCUUUUUCACGCCAGAUACCGCGGGUGUAGAUGCCUUUCGGUUCCACUGGGGGCGGAAUUGCUGGGUGAAGGUCCUGCGGCACGCAGAGCUGUGCAAAGCACGCAUCUGUCUGAUCGUUCCCCUCUGGCCGACACACGACUGGUGGUCCUAUCUGACUCAAGACGGGAAGUGGUUUGCGCCUUGCGUCCACGGCCUAAGAGAGCUGGGCAAGGCGUAUGAUCUUUUCCUGCCAGGGUCUUCGGGAAACGAGGUCCCAAAAGGGUCCGCUAACUGGCUAUCGCUCGCACUUCUCAUCGAUUUCCAAACACCUUCCCCGCGCUGGAUCGCUGUGCCCCCCGACCCUUAUGCCCCCCGGCUUUCACAGGAAUAAGGGCACGCGUGCAGACACUGCUUGGCCAGGUGCCCUUGGACGCUAACCCAAUGAUCGGCGAUCUAGCUCUGGCGUUGGCAAGCCAGGCACACAAGGUGCGAGCUAGCAGCACAGUCGCCCAGUACAAGGAGCCAUGGCAGGAGUUCCUAGAUUGGGCAGAGCUACUACAUAUUCGGGCGAGCGACAUUUACGACAUCAGGCCAGAGAUAGUGGCCAUGUACCUGAUGCACGUCUACCAAACCGUGCAAGCGGAUGAAGUAGGUCCGGGUCGCAUCGCGGGAGCGAGCGCUGCUAUUGCCUGCCAUUUCUUCCUCACGGGCCGCCCCUCACCUACGGAGCACCCAGCAUGCAACCUCGUUCGGGACCUGGGCAGGCGCACACUGCAAGGGAAGAAGCUGCACAGGGAAAGCAUGCAACCAGAGCAUGUCCGCAUGUUGGCCGCUCACUUCGCUGGGCCGGAUGCCUCACUGCCAGACCUGAUGAUGGUAGCGGCCAUAUCAGUUAUGUUCGCGGGUUUCCUAAGGUUCAACGACCUAGCCCACAUCUCCGUCAAGUCUGAUCUGCUCACCCUGCACGACACUCACAUGGCCAUCACACUGCCUAGGUCCAAAACGGACCAGGAGGGCAAAGGGCAGACCAUCCGGAUCGCGCGCGUGGGGGGCGUGGCCUGCCCAGUGGGCUUGACAGAGAGGCUGCUGGCGCUUGGUAACUAUGUCCGUGUCCCCAGUUCCCCCGUGGAGGAUGUGGGUCCGCUGCUGUGCAGGGUUAAGACGACACAGCAAGGCCACCAGCUGCAGCAGAGGACCGGCUCUGUUCAGUCACCGAUCCCCAGCCUCAGCUAUACCUCCUUCCGGGAGAAGCUCGCUGCCAUGUGCAGCGCCGUGGGCAUCAAGCGCGGCAUCAUGCCACACUCCAUGCGCAUCGGGGGAAACAGUGCGGCAGCAGCCAGAGGGGUAUCUGAAGAAGCCCGCAAGGCCCAUGGUCGCUGGAAGACGGACGCAAUGGUUCAGCUAUAUACCCGGCUGGAAGACGAUGCCGCACUGGAAACCACGCGCAACCUGGGCCUCGCCUGAGUCAGAGGGCCCCUCCUGCUAUCUUUUCUGUCUGCAGUAGUGUAAGGCCCUUGGCAGCCCCGGUUUCGCCUCGCCCUGUCCUAUCCGGCACCCCGAACGCAACCAUACAGCAAGCCAUGAAGGCUAUAGGACAUAAUUGUAGCUUAGAUGCGGCAGGAGCAAAAGCGAGUAUAGCCUCUAAGCUAGGUUAUGUACGGCAGCCGUAUGGCUUGCUGAGAAUUCGAAUUCACUAUUUCAGCUGACAGCUCCAUAAUUCCGGCAUUCUGCCUACACUAUUGGAGCUUAUUAUUAUUGUUGCUCUCAUUGGGGCUCCUGGCAUUCCUGGACUUCGCCAAGGCCUAUGACACGGUGGAUCGUGGGUUCCUCCUGGCAGCAAUGGAGACCAUGGGUGCAGGGCCACAGCUCUGCGCCUGGAAACACGAGCCCAAGCGAUGGUGAAUGGCUACAAAUCGAAGCUGGUGAACAUGGAAGCAGGGGUACGGCAAGGGUGCCCCCUCACACCCUUGCUCUACCUCUUCGUUGCUCAGGCCCUACAAUGCUGGCUCCGGAGCCAAGACGUGGGGAUCAAAUUACAGCCAGCCGACUCACAACCAGUCACCGUGUGCCAAUAUGUGGAUGACACGGAAGUGGUGCUGCAGGGUGAAGACUCAGUACCAUCGUUCCUCCAGGCCAUGGACACCUUUGCCCGGGCAUCUGGCCAAUGCCUAAAUCUCGACAAAGUGGAGCUGCUGUGGAUUGGCCAAUUAAACCAACAGCAGGCGCAACCUGCAACCCAGGCCGGACCCCAAUCAGCUGCCCCUCAGCAGGAGUCAAGAGGAGGUCUCAAGGUGGUGACCACCGCCACCACCCUGAACCUGCCGAUUGACAACCAGCCAUCCCCGCCACAGCCCGACUGGAUGAAGAGACUCAGGGAAGCCAAGCAGCGACUGCAGCGGCUCUCCCGCUUCCCGCUAUCAGCAUUCGGUCGAGCCACAGCGGCAUCGGUGUACGGAAUGCAGACAGUCACCUGGCACAUGGAGCAUGGUGGGCCGCCCCCCAACAUUAUGCUGGACGAAAUAGAACGCCUAACGGCCCGCCUCGUCGACCGGCAGCAGGGCCCAGAAGACCCCGGCCGCCGCUUGACAGGGGUGCCUAAGGAUCUCUUGACUGGCCACCCGUCGGCUGGAGGCUUUGGCCUGCUGCCCCUCCAGCAACACAUCCAGGCUCGGCAUGUGGUAUGGGCUGUGCACUUCAUCAUAGCGGCCCUCGGGCUAUCUAACGCGUCAUGUGGGCCAGGGACAGGUGGAGCUGCAGGAACCACAGGUGGUACCGGGGGACACAGGAGGGCAGGUGGUGGUCUCCAUCCCUGGGUCCGGACGCUCUCCACCUAUAUGCUGCUCACCCACCCCACCUUCCAACCGUGGGCCCUGAUGACCGCCAGCCAAGCCGGGCCCCGACUCGGCAGAAGUGACCUACCCACGGAUAUCAGCCGGAUUGUGGGCGCCCUGGGACACCUACCACUGCUCCGGGAUAUCGAGACCAGCCCCCUGUCCCCUGGACCGUGGUGCUGGGCAACCGUGUUGUGGGGUAACCCGUUGCUCCCCAAUACCGGUGAGGCAGACCCAGACAGUUUGAACCGCCACCCGGGCCUGGAGACGCACUUCGUGGGGAUCGCUACAUGCAGGAAACUGCAAACGGUGG